UUAAUAAAACAUUCUAUUUUUUUAUAAAAUAAUAUUUAUAGAGUUACCGGUAAAUAAUUUUUAUAGCGUAAAAGCUAAAUAAAUUUAUACAUACUGUAAUACAGAUAACCAAAGUAUAAAAUUUAAUUUACAGUUACACGUGGGCCCACGAACGACCAAAAGUAUCAAAAGCGGUAAACCUACAGUUUUUGAGUAUGCAAGUCCAACUAUAGCCCUCAACAAAGUGAGCUAUCUACUGACUAUCCUGAGCCUGAAAUGGGUGGAAAUGAGGGUGGUGAGAUUAUAUAAUCCCAGUGAGUAAACAAAUACCAUCUAAAAUAUCUAAAGUUGAGCAAAUAGAGACAAAUUAAAAUAGAUUAUCAUACUGUAAUUCAUUACCUUUGAACUCAUUUCAACCAAAUAAAAUCAAUUCAUAUAAAUUAAGUAAUCAACAUGGCUUAUGAAUUUCUUAAAACUUUGGCUCAUGCCAAAAUCAUUCUCAUACUCAGUUAUUAAGGAUACCUUGGCCGAGGGCUAUCCCAACCGAGUCCACCAAGGCUGUUAAAAAGUUAUGUACGCAUAAAUCAUGUUUUUAUUUUAAAAAUAUAGUUGUUCUUUGGCAUUGGCUAAGUUCACCCUCAUGUGGUGGUUUAGCGUGAAGUGAACUCUAAAGUGUUAACCUUAGGAGUUAUCCAUCCGCACCUCUCAUACUGAGGUAUGAAUAUAAUAGGGUUAUUGUGCCCCCUCUAAUAGGCUAGUCCACGGAACCCAUCCACUGCAGCGACUAAUCAAUAACCCACCAAUUCAAUAAAAGUUAACAGCAUGACAUGGCAAUUUUAUCAUUAUUCAGCCUAUCAAGGCAAACAACAGUUCAUAUAUUUUCAACACAUUUACCAAUUUAGCCAUUCAUGCAAAUAUUGUCAUAAGCCAUUCGAUUCGAACCUUGAAUUUACAACACAUGAAAAUAGUCUCCAAUUACUCUAUUUUCAAAACCAUCAUUCAAUCUCAAGACAAUUUUAUAAAAUCAUUUUCAUUUAAUCUCAUUUUGCUUAUAAAACAUAAAGAUUUACCAUUCAAACUCAUUUUCCAUAAAAUCACAAAAUCGGAUAAAACCACUUUAGAUAAUUAAGACGAUAGUAAGGUUACUCACUAUUUCGGGAGUCGAAUUCCAAGUACUCCAAUUCUUGAUCCUCGGAUACUAUCUCUUUACUUUUGCCAGAAUGCUCACAACCUAGACAUAAUGCACAAUAAGCCAUUUACUACAUUUGUGCUAAAUUAUUAUAAAACCAAUUCAGGCUCUAUACUAAUGCAUGAAAUGGAAUGCAAAUUGUUCGGAUUAUCCUCUAAACACGGUGUUCUACACAAAUUCAAUUGUGUACCUAAAUAAAAUGGUAUUGGCCUAAUUCGAUCUAUCACUCGAUUAAUUGGCAAAUAUGUCCAAUUUAACUCCAUUUAAUUCCAUUUUUUUCCCAAUACUCCAAAUCAUCAAACACAAAUUAAAUAACUUGAAAUAUGGCAAAAUCAUCCUCACAUUUUCUCUUGGAAAAUUCAACCAUGUUGGUUGCUUCAACACUAUGAUUUUUCAAGCUUGAUUCUCACACCAUAAAUCACUAAUUCCUAACCAAAUCACUUGAAAUAAAAUCAAAAUCAUCAUCAAUACUCUACAAGGAAGAUUCGGCCAAUGAAGGUUCUUGAGGGGUAUACGAUUUUUCCUGCUAAACAUUACCAUUUUUGGUUUCCACCACCACAAUUCAUUAAAUUUUAACUAAAUAACAUAAGACACCACAAGAUUCAUCUUCAAUAUUGUCUUUAUGAAAUUUGGCCAAUGAAGAAUCCAUGAAGAACAUGUGAUUUUUCUUGUUUUCCUUCCAAACAUGAUAAAUCAACUAUAAACACUAAAAUAUCUCAAAAUCUAACCAAAUAAAUCAUCAAAUCUUCUCUCUCUAAAUUUGCUCAGCCAUGAAUCCUUCAUGAUAUCUUGUGAUUCAACCAUGGAAAAUGCAAAAGAAUGCAUGGGAAAGGUAGAUCACAAGUCAAAAUCAAGAAAUUUUACCUUUGAUUGCUUGAUUACUUGAAAUCCACCAAUUUUCUCUUGAAUUUUCACCCUAGGGUUCUUGUUUUUUCUUUUCUUCCUUUGUUCUUGCUUUGGCCGGCCAUAUGAAGAGAAAUGGGCUGAUUUUGUGCUGAUUUUUAAGCCAAAUAAUAAAUGGAUGAAAAUUUGGCACAUGUCACCAUUCCAUUGGUCCAUGUGUCAUACUUACCCAUUAAGCAAUCUCUCUCCACCACUUAAAUUUCC
rnacentral:lncRNA from 1 species